rnacentral:rRNA from 1 species
GGCCUAACACAUGCAAGUCGAGCGGCAGCGAGAGUAGUAGCAAUACUACUUGUCGGCGAGCGGCGGACGGGUGAGGAACACGUAGGAACCUGCCCUUUAGCGGGGGACAACCAAGGGAAACUUUGGCUAAUACCGCGUAAUCUCGAGAGAGGAAAGCUGCCCGCAAGGGUGGUGCUAAAGGAGGGGCCUGCGUCCGAUUAGCUAGUUGGAGAGGUAAAAGCUCCCCAAGGCGAUGAUCGGUAACUGGUCUGAGAGGACGACCAGUCACACUGGGACUGAGACACGGCCCAGACUCCUACGGGAGGCAGCAGUGGGGAAUAUUGGACAAUGGGGGCAACCCUGAUCCAGCGAUGCCGCGUGGGUGAAGAAGGCCUUCGGGUUGUAAAGCCCUUUAGGUUGGGAAGAAGUUUAUUUGGUGAAUAUCCAAGUAGAUUGACGGUACCGACAGAA